AUUGAACGCUGGCGGCAUGCCUUACACAUGCAAGUCGAACGGUAACAGGUCUUCGGAUGCUGACGAGUGGCGAACGGGUGAGUAAUACAUCGGAACGUGCCUAGUAGUGGGGGAUAACUACUCGAAAGAGUGGCUAAUACCGCAUGAGAUCUACGGAUGAAAGCAGGGGAUCGAAAGACCUUGUGCUACUAGAGCGGCCGAUGGCAGAUUAGGUAGUUGGUGGGAUAAAAGCUUACCAAGCCGACGAUCUGUAGCUGGUCUGAGAGGACGAUCGGCCAAGCUGGGACUGAGACACGGCCCAGACUCCUACGGGAGGCAGCAGUGGGGAAUGUUGGACAAUGUGCGAAAGCCUGAUCCAGCAAUGCCGCGUGCAGGAUGAAGGCCUUCGGGUUGUAAGCUGCUUUUGUACGGAACGAAAAGCCCUGGGUUAAUACCCUGGGGUCAUGACGGUACCGUAAGAAUAAGCACCGGCUAACUACGUGCCAGCAGCCGCAGUAAUAC
rnacentral:rRNA from 1 species